CAGUCGCCGCGGUAAGACAGAGAAUGCAAGUGUUAUCUGAAAUGAUUGGGCGUAAAGCGUCUGUAGGUGGCUUUUCAAGUCCAUCAUCAAAUCCCAGGGCUCAACCCUGGACAGGCGGUGGAAACUACCAAGCUGGAGUAUGGUAGGGGCAGAGGGAAUUUCUGGUGGAGCGGUGAAAUGCGUUGAGAUCGGAAAGAACACCAACGGCGAAAACACUCUGCUGGGCUGACACUAACACUGAGAGACGAAAGCUAGGGGAGCAAAUGGGAUUAGAGACCCCCGUAGUCCCUGUCUCUUAUAC
rnacentral:rRNA from 1 species